rnacentral:rRNA from 1 species
CCUACGGGCGGCAGCAGUGAGGAAUAUUGGUCAAUGGCCGGAAGGCUGAACCAGCCAUGCCGCGUGAAGGUCAGUGCCCUAUGGGCGUUAAACUUCUUUUGUGCGGGAGCAAUAAUGGUCACGUGUGGCCAGACGAGAGUACCGUACGAAUAAGCAUCGGCUAACUCCGUGCCAGCAGCCGCGGUAAUACGGGGGAUGCAAGCGUUAUCCGGGUUUAUUGGGUUUAAAGGGUGCGUAGGCUGUGAGGUAAGUCAGCGGUGAAAUGCCCCCGCUCAACGGGGUGAAGUGCCAUUGAUACUGCCUGGCUGGAAUGCGGAUGCGGUGGGAGGAAUGUGUGGUGUAGCGGUGAAAUGCAUAGAUAUCACACAGAACACCGAUUGCGAAGGCAUCUCACGAAUCCGCGAUUGACGCUGAUGCACGAAAGCGUGGGUAUCAAACAGGAUUAGAUACCCGAGUAGUC